rnacentral:rRNA from 1 species
AUUGAACGCUGGCGGCAGGCCUAACACAUGCAAGUCGAACGAGUGGCGGACGGGUGAGUAAUGUCUGGGAAACUGCCUGAUGGAGGGGGAUAACUACUGGAAACGGUAGCUAAUACCGCAUACUAUCGGAUGUGCCCAGAUGGGAUUAGCUAGUAGGUGGGGUAACGGCUCACCUAGGCGACGAUCCCUAGCUGGUCUGAGAGGAUGAUCAGCCAAACUGGAACUGAGACACGGUCCAGACUCCUACGGGAGGCAGCAGUGGGGAAUAUUGCACAAUGGGCGCAAGCCUGAUGCAGCCAUGCCGCGUGUAUGAAGAAGGCCUUCGGGUUGUAAAGUACUUUCAGCGGGGAGGCGUUACCAACAGAAUAAGCACCGGCUAACUCCGUGCCAGCAGCCGCGGUAAUAC